ACUUAGCAUGAAAUGAGGAAAAAAAAAAUGAGAAUAUAAAUAUGAAAUAAAUAAAUAACAAAUAAAUAGGAUUGAAUAGCAAGAAAGAUUUACGAUAGAAAAUAGAACAAUUUAAAGAAUAGCAUAAAAAAAAAAAAAAAGAAAAAAAAAAAAAAAAAAAAAAAACUAAUAAUAAUGUAAAAUAAUAAUGUAGAAUAAUAACAACAUUGUUUGUAUAAGAAAAAUAAUCGAUUGUAAUCUUAGUAUCCCAAUGUCUAGAUAUUAUUUAAAUGAAUGGAAAUGAAUAUUAUGAAUAAUAGGAAUGAAACCAAGAACAAUAUGAGUCAUUAAUCUGGAAGAAGGGUUGAAAUAAUGGGGUAGGCUAGUUAGUGUUGGAGCUUCUUUGGGGUUUUUCUGGUAAAAUUGUUUGUGAAAAACCAUGGUUGGGUGGGUAAAGAGCGCGUGUGCCGAAUGCCAUCUAUGGCCACGCUUAGUUGUGUCGGUGUUCUUGAUGUAAAUUUGUGCCCGUUCUUCCCCUAAUUCCUCAGUAUAAUUUGUUUUUUUUUUUCGUGGAGUAUAGCUCCACCUCGAGUUUAAGGGAUCUUACAAAUUAAAAUUUAUGAACUCUGAUCGCAAGGCAGAAAAGAACCCCCCCACACUCCCGACGAGCGACGGCACAAGAAGGUCCCGCUUAUCUGUCUUGCGACCGAAAAACAAAGCCAAGUCAGUGCUUUGUAGAGAGAGUCUCUCUGCUGAAUGAACACUUUUGUUUACAUAAAUUUUUGGCGCCCAACGUGGGGCAUGAAAGUAUGCAGCUUUAUAGGCAUCACGCUUUCAGAGUCCCAUUUUUAAUGUUCAAAUAAUCAACACGGUCUUUUCUCUAAUCGCAGAAAAAGAGUUGGCUGUUUGAAACACCCAUUUUGGUGAUGGUUGAAAACUCAGUGUCCAGAGUGCUGAAAUAGAUUGGACUUGCUUGGUCGGCCUAUCGCAACUGUGACAGAUGAGUCAAAUCAAUUCUUAAUAGGGACUACGAAGCUGAAAGAUUCGAGCUGAAUCUCAGACCGAGAAACCCGAAUAAGAUAAAUUCAACUUAUAAUAACACCUGUAUCACCAUGUUUGCUCGUUUGUCUUCGUAUAGUUGUUAUUUCAUUUAGAUAUUAUUUUAAUUGUGUUUUGUAAAAUUAUCAGAUACGAUUCCAGAAUAUUGUAUAUUGGGCCCAGCUCGGAUAUCAAUACUGAUUGUUCUCUGGUAGUUGUUGCAGGGCCAAAUGAGAUGAAUCUGGGUGCAAUAUAAACUCAUACCCGUCUGGCCAGUAGAUGUUGUUAUGACAGAAGUUGCUAAAUGUUGAGAGUGUUGUCUGGAACUUGUGUAUAUGCUGCAUUGGCGUAUCCUUGCCGAACACUCACACUUUAGUUAACUUUUGCAUAGCAAUACUCUAUAACCAGUUUUAGUAGCAAUAGCCCAAAAUCCAUUAUUUCCCCUAAUUGUAUAAUAUAGCAAGAACAGCACACAACAGCACAAAACCUAGCUACCUUCCCCAUUAUAUCAACCCAAACUUGUUACAUUCAUUAGCAAAUUAAAAAUAUUUAGAUACAAAAUGCCUAUUUCAAGAAGUCCUCAAGAUAUGCGCACAGUAGAGAAAACUGUUAGUUUGUGUAGUCUUUGUAGCCAAGGGAUGAGCAAUACCCAGCAAUGUUAUUGUACCCCUUGUAAGCACAAUUUUCACAAGUUAUGUCUAGAACAGUGGCUGGAAAAUAAGCAAGAAUGUCCGGAAUGUCAGUCCACAUUGGACCCAAGGUCAAUUAAGCUGGUUAUUGGUAACUGUUCACCUGACCCGAAACCAGCUUCAACAUCAGCAAUUCCAGGUAGUUCGCGUAUGGUAACGCGUAAUUUAGCCAAAGCAUUAGGUGAAGUUCCGCCUGAGUCUCUAGAGCAUCCCCAAGAGCGAUCGCUCGAAGGCAGUGAGGUAAUUAUAUCCGGUUUAGAUGCAAGCCAUAAUUCUGACCGAAACGUAGUUCCUCCUCCAAGAGGCAUUAGUACCCGCCGACGAGGCCGACCCAAUCGAGCCGGCCAUACUCGUCAAGAAUCGGCAGGCGUUGAUUAUAAUAUAAUUCAGCAAAUGAUCGAGCAGUCAGUCACUCGUGUGAUGUCGGCGCUCCGUAUUGAUUCACGGCCCAGCUCAAGCGAGCAGCUGCCGUCUAUUCCGACUCCUAUGGCAUACUCGCCAGGAGGUUCGUCUGUCCAAAGCAGAAGAACAGCUGACAUUAUGCAGAAAUGGAAUCUCCAUUUUGAUGGGUCAUCUGAAGGACUAGGAGUGGAAGAAUUUAUUUAUCGUGUGAGAGUCCUUACUGACGAAACUCUCGAUAGUGAUUUUAUGGGGCUUUGCAAACAUUUGCACAUUCUUUUCUCUGGGAAAGCUAGAGAUUGGUUCUGGAUGCUCCCCUUAUAGAGCUUUAUUUGGGUUAGAUAUGAUAACUCAUGGUUCAGACUACAAGUUGAUAAAGCAAUUAACAUUGCUUGAAGAACCAUUAGUACCACUAUCUCGAUCAGAUAACUUAUCCCUAAUUCGUAAAGAUAUACAGGCCAACAUAAAACAAGCUUAUGAACGAAAUGUUAAACAGUAUAAUUUACGUUCUAAGCCUGUUACAUUUAGGGAAGGGCAGGAAGUGUAUCGCCGAAAUUUUUCACUUAGCAAAUUCGCUCACAAUUAUAAUGCGAAAUUAGCACCCCAAUUUUUGAAAUGUAGAGUGAAAAAGAAACUAGGAAAUUGCUUUUAUCUUUUAGAGAAUUUGCAAGGUCAAGAGAUAGGUACCUUUCAUGCCAAAGACAUUAAGCAAUAGACAUCCGAACAUAUUCCCGCUAAUAUUCCGUCUAACGGUGGUAUAUUAUCGGGUGGUGUAAUGGUCGCAAGCCAAACAAAAAAAAUAAGGGUAAAUAAAAAUAACGAAAGAAAUAGUUCAAAAAGUACGCGCGCUUGCAAAAGCUUUGAAAAGGUACAGCGAACCUUUUUCAGUGCUUGCAGCGCUGCAUUGAGAGCUUUCGGUGGGUGCCGAAAAGUUGUCGCGCACGCGCAACAGCUGAUCUUGUCGCGCUGUGCGAAUUCUGCAGCGACAAAUAUUAGUGCAGCCAACUUUAGGGGCAAUAAAACCUGUAAGCUUUUAUCUACCCAAAGCUAUAUAAGCCGAAAAAGUGCAAAAUUGAGCCCUUUUUCUAGAACUCCACGUUGCGACUUUACACUAAAUCCAUAUAUAUAUAUGUAUAUAAUAUAUAUACAUAUAUGGUGAGGAACUCGUGCGCUGCAAUAAUUAAUAAAGCGCAGCAACAAAUUUUUCUUGACGCCCGUGUCAAAUUUGGGCACGGCAAUAUAGAAAAGCCUGCCCUAGACACGGGCUCUGUUUUAAUUUUUUUGGCCCAUCAAGAUCGAUCGCAGCAACUUUAUCGAAAGGCUGGAGGAACUUCAACAGCAGGCGGGGGAAACACAAACGUGAAUCGUGGCUCAUAAAUUGCAUAGUGACAAUUAAACCUAUAAAACUUUUAACCCCAAAAACUCUAAGCCGCGAAAAUCUAAAAGUGGAAAAAAAAAACUACACACAGUCAAGAACAAAAACUCUAGUUCUACCAUAAUCAACUAAACGAAAAAAAAAAAAAAGAACAAAAACCACACUUCAAUUACAUAUGUGAC